GUCCCUAUGGUUCAACGGAUAGAACGCGGGUCUCCGGAACCCGAGAUGAAGGUUCAAUUCCUUCUAGGGGCA
rnacentral:tRNA from 1 species